AUCCAGAUUAAAAAACAUGCCACUGAUAUGCACACGUUAAAAUAGAUAAGGGAAUGCGGCAAGGAUAAAAUAUAAUCAUCCAUAGAAAAACUUUCAAGAUAAUUUUCAUAGAGAAACAUAAUUGCUUGGUAUGACAAUAAUUAAUUAUUAAUUCAAGAGCAAUUAAUGACACUAUGAAUGGAAUAUCAUGCAAGGAUGUAAAUCAGACUAUAUCUAUAACCUAGAUAUGGUCGCAUUUAUUAUUUGAAUCUAUCAAGAUUACGAAACAUGCCAUUGAGAUAUGCAAACAUUAAUAUAGAUGAGGACAAGUAGUAUAUUUGUUAUGCCAUAGUCCAUGCCUCUAUAUAAAUACCUUCUAAGGAGCAUGUUAAGGUUCACAUUAAAGUAGAAGCACAUUUGCAUGUUGUUCUUUCCUCAAAUCAUGACAACUUUGGGACGUGGCUCGAUGGGGAACAUAUUCCUUAUAGUUUCUCUUGUGUUUGUCAUGGUUAUUCAAUCAACUUCAUUUCCCACAAGAGGUACAUACAUACUUUUUUUAUAAGCAAUGUUUUGCAUUGAUAAAAUAUACUAACCAGCAAUUUGCAGAUGAUGUGCGUUGUGAUGUGCUACAACAAAGAUGUGCACCUAACAAUUGCAAUAUCCAACUAUGUCGAGUGUGGUAUGGAGAAAGACAAUUCAAAUCUGCUUUUUGCAAGAGGACUCCUCCUUUUCCUGACCAGUGUUGCUGCCAAAUGCGUGGCCAACCACCAAACUCCUAUGUCCAAGUCCCUUGAAGCUUAGGGGUUCUACUUGAAUAAUAAUAUUUCACCAUUACUUUUUUUCUUAUUUUAGUGAUAUCAAUAAAUAAAGAUGCAUUUGGCUAACUUGCUCUUGUAUGUGAUGUGAUCCAUUUACAUGAAGGAAAUGCAACAAAGAUGUUCUAACUAUAUAGCCAUUACAACAUAUGUGGUGGUGUGUGUCGCUAUCUAGCACCGACAACACACUACAGGGUAUUACGUGGACUGCUUUUGAUGGUUAGCAACGUCGACAGUAGCUCAAUGGAUGUAAACCCUAGAAUUUAGUUUUAAAACUCUAGUCACUUGAGGAAUAAUAAAGGAGCCAUUUUAAUUAUGUAUCUAGUAAACGAGCAUAUUUCUACCAAGUAAAAACAUGGAAAUUAUGCAGCAUGCUAGAACUCCUUUACUUGGGCAUCAAACUCAAACUUAGGCUUAAAACAAAGUUAGUUUCAAAAUUCAAUUUUGAGCUCGAAAAAAUAUGGGAGAAAAAGAGUUAAGAAGAAAGGAAUAAUAAUAAUAAUAAUAAUAAUAAUAUGGCAAACAGAGAAAGUAUUAUUCAUGUUGAAAUUAUGUUUGGAAAUUUGAAAGUGCAAAACAGGACUUUGAAAUUGGUAGGGACACUU
rnacentral:lncRNA from 1 species